AAUAUAUGAUCAUAAAAGACUACUGCAUAUUCUUACUGAAGUCAAUCGAACACGUACUCUCCCAUUCACUAUCCCGAGUUCCUUCAUCAAAAGGCAACGCAGAUUCACCAUUAGCCGCGCAUAUAUUUUUCUGAGCGGUAGGGCGGUAGGCCGGUGUGGCAUAUAAAACAGCGGUAAGCAUCCAGCAUCUCUCCACUGCGGUAGUGCACUUGUUACAGUUGCUUGCGAUUAGACAGAAGUCAAUUAUUAUAUCCACGUUCUAACAAUCGUCAUUUUUACAGAGGACAUUCACUUGGUGCUCUACCAUAGAUCCUACAUCAUCACGGAUACCAAAGAGAUCGAAGGAAACUGAAUAAUAUCAUCACAAGGAUAUUAUUACGAUAUUAUGACCGCAGUCCGCAGUUUUUAGAAGAUACAAUUAAAAUGAAGUUAAUCAUCCUGCUGUUGCUGCUGGUCAAUUCUGCUUUUUGUAUACCUUGGCUCGAUCUAUGGUUCCCUCAGCAGUCCUCGUACGACACUCAAAAUCGCAGAUACUAUGCAAACAACCCGCAUCGUCAAGGUAGAGAUGGUAAGGAGCGCUGGAAACAGAUCUGCAGGACCAUAAAUCCGGAUACGUACGCGUUCCCGGGACGCGUACCUUA